rnacentral:rRNA from 1 species
AUUGAACGCUGGCGGCAGGCCUAACACAUGCAAGUCGAGCGAGCGGCGGACGGGUGAGUAAUGUCUGGGAAACUGCCUGAUGGAGGGGGAUAACUACUGGAAACGGUAGCUAAUACCGCAUACCAUCAGAUGUGCCCAGAAGGGAUUAGCUAGUAGGUGGGGUAACGGCCCACCUAGGCGACGAUCCCUAGCUGGGCUGGGGGGAUGACCAGGCACACUGGAACUGAGAAACGGUCCAGACUCCUACGGGGAGGAGCAGUGGGGAAUAUUGCACAAUGGGCGCAAACCUGAUGCAGCCAUGCCGCGUGUGUGAAGAAGGCCUUCGGGUUGUAAACUCUGUUAAUCGGGACGACGGUACCUGUAUAAGAAGCAACGGCUAACUACGUGCCAGCAGCCGCGGUAAUUC